rnacentral:tRNA from 1 species
GCUCGGGUGGUGAAAUUGGUAGACACGCUAGUUUGAGGGGCUAGUGGGCGAUAAGUCCGUGCUGGUUCAAAUCCAGUCCCGAGCA